rnacentral:lncRNA from 1 species
GGGACAGCCACGUGUCGGUCGGGUUCAGAUAUCGGGGGAUAAGGAGGGCCGUCCAGCUUUCCUCCCACGACGGCCGGAAUAUUCUUCCGAAUCUCUAUUUUAUGGUGGAAACUAAACGGACCUGGAGUUGCGAUCCGGACAGCUGCGGUGAGCUUACCUACUUUUUCUUGAUGGUUGCUUGCUAGGAUUAGUGGUCUUGGCACC